UGCACAGGGUGGGAUUUGAACCCACGCGGACAAACCGUCCAUUAGAACUUGAGUCUAACCCCUUAGACCACUCGGGCACCUGUGC
rnacentral:tRNA from 1 species